rnacentral:rRNA from 1 species
AUUUGUCUGGUUAAUUCCGAUAACGAACGAGACCUUAACCUGCUAACUAGUUCUCAAUACUCUGUAUUCUGCAACUUCUUAGAGGGACUAUGUAAAUCAAUUACAUGGAAGUUUGAGGCAAUAACAGGUCAGUGAUGCCCUUAUAUGUCCUGGGCUGCACGCGUGCUACACUGAUGCAUACAACAAGUGCCUAGCCAGACAUGGUAUGGCAAUCUCGAAUAUGCAUCGUGAUGGGGAUAGAUCUUUGCAAUUAUAGAUCUUGAACGAGGAAUUCCUAGUAAGUGCAAGUCAUCAUCUUGCAUUGAUUAUGUCCCUGCCCUUUGUACACACCGCCCGUCGCUCCUACCGAUACCGGGUGAUCCGGUGAACCUUUUGGACUCCGUACGGGGGAAGAUAAGUAAACCAUAUCACCCAGAGGAAGGAGAAGUCGUAACAAGGUUUCCGUAGGUGAACCUGCRGAAGGAUCA